GGGGGAUAUCUUCAUCUAUCAGGGUCUCGAACGACGCUUGAUUUGGACAAGGCGUCGGUAGAUCUCGAGGGAAGUGACCAAACCGGGAUCUCAUGCCUUCGGGACUUAUUCUUCGAAGUAAUAUGUCGAGGAAAACUGAUCUCCGGAUUUUCCUGCGCACAGAUAGUCUCCGCAUAUCUUAGAAGGACGUGAUAAGAAAUUUUUUUGACAUUCUACCCUCGUGGGCCCUCGACAUGGCAUUAUGCUGAUGGCACAACUUCCCUUCUCGGAAGUCGAGGCAUUUUUCCCUUCUUGCUUUUUCAGGACCAUUAGGAGUAUCACGACUCCUUGCUCCGCGGGGCCAUAUCGUCGUAAUCAUCUCGUGCCGCCAUUUUGUAGUUAUCGUUUCAGCUUUCACGAACGCAUUAAUUACGCCUGUCAUUACGUUCUUUGAGGGUAGUAGUGGCACCGUCGAUUACUUUGCCUUUUUUCUAUAUAUAUGGGGCUUCUUUGUGAUCAGUUCUUCAUUCAAAACUCCUUUCGAUAUAUGCUCUUCUUGUUUUCCCUGCCAUUUUUCCAGCCUUUGUUGCUCUGCAAUAUUUGAGGCCUAUGGCCUUAAGACCCUGUGUUGGACCGCAGUGGGCCAGCCCUUGAUCUUUUUCUAGCGGGAUGAACUUGCCCUGCCGUGAUGCUAUUGUCGUUGUUAUUAUUGUUGUUGUUGUUGUUGUUGGUAUGGCGACGCAGGAGGUUGGCAUUCUCCGACAAGGAGAAAGAUUCAGAUUAUCCAUUGCUGCUCAAGAAGGGGCUCGAAUUAUACACCACUACUCACACUCCUUCCUCGGCCUGGCGCAUUACGCGCCCUUUCGAUUCUAGGGCGUGGUGAUGGUCUCAACCCGACCGUUGCCUCCUGGGCCGAGGCGUAGUCUCGAGAAAUGGCUUUGGGGUAAGCAUGCUAGUGGAGUCCGUGCUAACCAAAUUUUUUGCCCAGCCAGUUCUUGCCUUCUUUUGGUAUCCCUCUCAUCAUUUUGCUCUUCUCCAGGCUUCCUUUUAAAGAUGCCAUUACGGGAAGAUGGGGAGGAGAUCCCUGUGAAGGCCGGGCUUGAAAGAUUUGGUCGUGAGGUCAUACACCUGGAAGGAUGACAUCAAAAGUGCUAUAAAUAUAUAGGAUGCUCCCUUGGGCUUGUAUACUACCUGUAUCUUCUUUUUUCUUGUUGUAAAAGAUUCCUUGCGGGCUUUUAUAAUCAUGUAAAACGAAAUUGUAUAUAAGGAUUUCUAUGAUUACAAAUA
rnacentral:lncRNA from 1 species